rnacentral:rRNA from 1 species
ACAUAGAAAAAUGUUUUGGUUUUUUGUGGCUCUCUCUAACAAUUAAUUUAUCUGUACUGCACUAUUUAUCUCAGACAGCACUAGUAUUCAUCACAUACUGGAAUGUGUAUGUGCAUUUGGGCUAGAAACUCCAAAGAAGUGUUUGGAGAAAACCCACUUGGUACGAAAUAACCUUGGUACCAAUUAGUCUUGAAGUAUUUGAACCCUUCACUGCAGUCUUGAGGAAGGAAAUGCACAUUGAGGACUGCAAAUGGACUCUUAUUUAUAUGCACAUUGUUAUUAAGAAACUGUUAGUUGAUAAGUCAUGUAGAAGAUUGUACAUGCAUGCUUUCAGUGGAAUAUGUUAUUCUGCUUGAAAGAAUGUUUUAUGGAAAACUAUGUACAAAAUGCUUAUUCUAUUUUAAAAUAGCAAUAUUCCUAUGAAUCCAAUGACUGUGUUCUACAUUGAAAGGUAUUUUUAGUAGCUCUUUAAGAAUGUAUUCAUUUCUGACCUGCAUCCUUUAUCUCAGACAACAAUAGUAUGCAUCAUAUACCAAAUGAGUAUGUAUAUUGGGUCUAGAAAUGCCUUAAAUAUCUUUGCCAAAAUACCUGUUUGGUACAAAAUAAUCUUAGCACAAACUGCUCUUGAAGACUUAGAAUACUUCGCUAUGUUUUUUUUCCCCUAUUGAAAUGCACCCUGGGGACUCUAUGUAGGCUUUUAUGGUUACAUUCACUUUGAUAUUCAGAAACCUGUAAUGUAAAAGUGAUGAAGUAGAGUGCACUUGCAACUUCUAGAUGGAAUAUGGUUUUCUUUAUGAAACACUACUUCUCAGAAAACUGUGUGGGGAUGCUUAUUCUAUUUAAAACAGACAUGAAUCUGCUUACUGUGUUUUUACAGAGAAAAGUACUGUUAGUAGAUCUUUAAGAGUGUCUUCAUUUAUCUGCAGUCUUUAUCUCAGGCAGCACCAGUAUUAAUCACAUACUGAAAUGAGUACAGAUAUUUGGACCAGAAACUCCACAGAAGUGCUCACCAAAAACAUACUUGGUAGUUAAUAAUUUUAGUUCAAAGUGGUGUUGAAGUGUUCAAAUGCUUCACUAUGGUUAUAUCUAAGGAAAUGCACUCUGAGUACUGUAAAAUAACUCCUUUGUUGAUGUGCCCUAUGAUAUUUAGGAACUUGCAGUGUACAAGUCAUGAAGUAGACUGUACAUGGAUGGGCCAUGUGGACGACGUUUUUCUGCUCAGGUAAAUACAGAAAACUGUGUGCAAGAUGCUCAUGCUAUUUUAAAACAGACAAACUCAUAUGAAUCCAAUGACUGUUUUCCACAUAGAAAAAUGUUUUUAGUAGCUCCCUCCCUAAAAAUGUAUUCAUUCCUGAUCUGCAUUCUUUAUCUCAGACAGCACUAGCAUUCAUUACAUACUGAAUGAGUAUGUAUGUUGAGCCUAGAAAUCCCUUAGAAGUAUUUGUCAGAAAAGCCAGUUUGGUACAAUAUAGUCUUAGUACAAACUGGUCUUGAAGUGAUUGAACAUUUCACUACAAUUUUUUUUCAAGGGAAAUUCAUGUGGAGGUCUGUAAGAGGACUCCAUGGUUAUACUCACUUUGAUAUUGAGAACCUGUAGUGUACAAAUCAAUUAGGAGACUGCAUAUGCAUGUUCUUGGUGGAAUAUGGUUUUCUGCUUCAAAGAAUACUUUACAGAAAACUGUGUGCAAGAGCUUAUUCUAUUUUAAAACAGCAAUACUCCUAUGAAUGCUUCAAUCAGCACCUAGCAGCCAACUUAGAACUGAUGUGGACUAGGGGAAUCCACCUGUUUAAUUAAAACAAAACAUCGCAAAGGCCUGUGGUGAGGGUGGAUGCAAUAUGAUUCCUGCCCAGUUCUCUGAAUGUCAAAGUGAAGAAAUUCAAUGAAGCACAGAUAAACAACGGGAGUAACUAUGACUCUCAAGGUAGCCAAAUGACUCAUCAUCUGAUUAGUGAUGCACAUGAAUGAAUGAAGGAGUUUCCCACUGUCCCUACCUACUACCCAGCUAAACCACAGCCAAGGGAAGGGGCUUGGCAGAAUCAUCGGGUAAAGAAGAUCUAGUUAACUUUGAUUCUAGUCUGGCAUGGUGAAGAGACAUGACUGUUGUAGAAUAAGUGGGAGGCCCCCAGCACCCCCCUUCCCCCGCAAGUGGGCAGGGCAGGGCUCCCCAUCUUUGCAGGCUGCUGGUAAAAUACUAUUACCUCUUUCAACCUGGUGAGGUGGGCGGGGGGGACCAUGGGUGAGCCCCAAGGGGCUCUUCUUUCUAGCUCCAAGCACUCUGGCCAGCACAAGCCAUGCCCUGGGUGCAAGCCACUUGGGACAGUGCCAGGUGGGGAGUUUGACUGGGGCGGUACACCGGUCAAAUGGCAAUGCAGAUGUCCUAAGGUGAGUUCAGGAAGGAGAGAAACCACCCAUUGAGCAGAAGAGCAAAAGCUCACUUAAUCUUGAUUUUCAAUACGAAUACAGACUGUGAAAGCGGGGCCUUGCAAUUCUUCUGACUUUUUUAGUUUAAACAAGAGGAGUCAGAAAAGUUACCACAGGGAUAACUGGCUUGUGGGGGCUAAGAGUUCAUAGGGAUGUUGCUUUUUGAUCCUUCGAUGUUGGUCCUUCCUAUCAUUGUGAAGCAGAACUCACCAAGCAUUAGAUUGUUCAUCCACUAAUAGGGAAUGUGAGCUGGGUUUAGAUCAUCGUGAGACAGAUUAGUUUUACCCCACUGAUAAUGUGUUGUUGCCAUGAUAAUCUUUCUCUGCACAAGAGGAACUGCAGGUUCCAACAUUUGGUGUAUGUGCUUCGCUGAAGAGCCAAUGAGGUGAAGCUGCCCUCUGUGGGAUUAUGACUAAAUACCUCUAAGCCCAGGCAGAAUGAUAAGGCAGGGCCCCAAAGCCUCAGUUGGCCUCAGCUGGUUGGGGCUGCAGUGUGCAUCCCCCGCCCCCAGUGCGCACCCAGACCAAGUCUAGUGGGGAAAGCCCCUCAUCUUGGAAAAGGGGGCUGCCCCCCUGCCUAUCAUGCCCCCAAGUUGAUGGGGAACCUGGCGCUAAACCAUUGGUAGAUAACCAGCUUCUAUGUGAGCAGAGCAGCU